CGUGGAUCUUGGUUACGAAGCCACAGAGUUGAAAUAGAGAGCAGGAUCCCACUAUCUGUUUCAAAUGAUCUUAUAAUGGACUGUUCUACUGUUACUACUUGCCUGGUUAUUCAAUCGACAGUUAAACUAUUGACGAUCAGCACCCAUUCCACCCUGCAACAAUAUGCCUGUCCUUCAGGUGAGAUGCUCAAGUAAGGUCCAUCUAUCCUUUCAAGAAGAUGAUCAUGCUCCCAUUGCACCAUUUGGAAGAAGACCACUGGAGAUAUCCUCUCAUGACAUGUAAACUCUUUGGUGCUAGAAGUGGACUCCAGGUGUCGACUGGUUUAAUUGGUCAAUCCACCCCAACAAACACAAAAGCAG